UGUGGUUUCACUGCUGUUCAAGGGCUCUGUUUUGACUGCAAGAAGAGACACUACGUAGAAGAAUAAGUACAUAAAAUAAACUGCAUUCACAUUAAGUGAGCAUCAACAAGCACCUCUUGACCUCUAAGACAGCAUCCAAAAUCAUUACAUGCAAUAAAAUGGAAGCAAAAUCCUUCUAUAGAAGACAAGCACCGUAUUUCUCAGCCAAAUGCAAGCUUACACACCAAAUGUUUUGAUUUCAAAAGAAACAAUGAUAUUUUAAUGUCCUAGGUUGAAGAGUUUUGUGAG
rnacentral:antisense_RNA from 1 species